UACAGAGGUCCCGAGCGUUGUUCGGAUUCACUGGGCGUAAAGGGUGCGUAGGUGGCGAUGAAAGUUCGAUGUGAAAUCUCCGGGCUUAACCCGGAAAAGGCAUUGAAAACUAUGUUGCUUGAGGUUUGGAGGGGGGACUGGAAUUCUUGGUGUAGCAGUGAAAUGCGUAGAUAUCAAGAGGAACACCAGUGGCGAAGGCAGCUCGCUGGGACGUGACUGACGCUGAGACGCGAAAGCGUGGGGAGCAAACAGG
rnacentral:rRNA from 1 species